UAACGGGCCAUAUAUGCAUACAGUACAGUAUUCUACCAUACCAGACCUCGACAACAUGAGCACAAGUCGGCGGUACCGAUUCGCCCUCCACGUUCGAAUGAGAGCGAAGCGAGGAGGAUGAAUGAGUGACAGACAUGCAGAGAGAGAGAGAGAGAGAGAGAGAGAGAGAGAGAGAGAGAGAGAGAGAGAGAGAGAGAGAGAGAGAGAGAGAGAGAGAGAGAGUCUGGGAGCAAGUGAGGAGAGGGGGCAGGGAGGGGCUGGUGAGGUCAGCCGCUCACUGAAACGCCUCACUCCUCACGUCAUUUAGUGCAGGGCGAGCGGAGCAGUUGGACGCGCGCGCGGUUGUGAUUCCCGUCAGUGAAGAAAUGCAUGCCUGCAUUUUAUCAGUGGCACAGAAAAUAAUGAUUCUAUUCAAAUAAGCUGUUAGCUCUACUGAAACUUUCGCUCCACGAUGAUCUUUGAAAAUAUCUACAAAAAGCCGCAUUGUCGCUACCACCAGCCUUCUGGCCCAGCCCUGCCCCGCCAACAGGCCUUCAGACAAGUUCCCCGCCUGCUAAACGAGUCCCCAGGCUUCCUAGAACAAGUGAAGAAAGGCUAUUACUGCUCCCCGAGAUACUUGGAACUCUUCUCCUCAGAGUAUUACCCUGAAUAUCUACCGCUAUACAAAGAUAUAUAUAUAUAUAUAUAUAUAUAUAUAUAUAUAUAUAUAUAUAUAUAUAUAUAUAUAUAUAUAUAUAUAUAUAUAUAUAUAUAUAUAUAUAGUGUACGUUUUUCAGUUGUGAUCAAUUACUAAUGAAAUCCUCAUAGACUCGUGCUUUGUCAUUUUAGAAUGAAAUAUUCUUGAUUUUGUUCUUUUUUUACAAUUAGCUAGGAUGCAUUCACAUAACAAUAAAAAAAAUAAUAAUAAUACACCAGUAACAGAGGUUAUAUACAUUAGCACGUGAAUGAAUAUUCAGUGCGCGAGCACACUUACCUGUUCCUCAUGAAAUGUAAACAUGCAUAUGAUAAUGUACUUAUGUUACAUUACAGCUUAACACAUUAGUGGUCAAUAUUGUCACUGGUGGAUUUUACGUACGACUGUCAAACUUGUUUAUGAAAAAAAAAGACAAUAUUCUAAAUAUUUGAUUCAUCCGCGAACUAUGAAAAAUGUAUGCAAAUAAUUCCUUGUAUAUAAGGUGGUUAAAAUAAUUAUUUAUGAAAAGAAAAACGAUGUUGGUCGCGAAGAGUGUAAUUCAUUCAGUCUUGUCUGGUGAAUGAAUUACACUGGCUGUGUGUGUGUGUGUGUGUGUGUGUGUGUGUGUGUGUGUGUGUGUGUGUGUGUGUGUGUGUGUGUGUCCCAUUCAUUCACUCACGCUCGUCUGCGGGGCUUAAGACACAGCCAACCUACGGAAAGCGCUCACAGCUUCUAGUAACUGAACCCAUUCACACACCACACACGGGGACAACAAGGCCACAAUCCCUCAGCUCACCCUUCCCGGGAGUCGAACAGAGACCUUUUGGUUGUGAACAGUAUGUGUGUGUUUGUAGUAACAACAACAACAACAACAACAAAAACAAUAAUAAUAAUAAUAACAAUAAUAAUAAUAAUAAUAAUAAUAAUAAUAAUAAUAAUAAUAAUAAUAAUAAUAAUAAUAACCGCGAUACAAUAAUAAUAAUAAAAUUACGGGGUAUACCGUUACAUGGAACUUGAUUGUGCUUAAUUAGGACGACAUAAGUCUGCCAUGAUGCUUAAUUUUGGUUAAUAUACACAGUAUGAAAAAAUAAUUAAAUAUUAUGUAGAACUAUUGUAGCUUGUUACGUCUCUCACACCCUGUAUUCACAACCACUACUGUGACCUUUGACUUUUGUACAGCCACCUACGAUUGUGGGCUUGAAUGAUGUGCGCAUCUACAAAAUACGAUGGAAAACGCGGUAGUUUUACCCUGAUGAGCAAUUAAAAAUUCACCAGAAAGGGUUGUUAGACUUUCCUAAAGCUUUCUCCUCCAAGCUUAAUAUAGUCAUGACGGAGGCCUUACAUUCAUGCUGUUAGUACAGCUUCAUGGAGCAGGAUGAUUGAAUGAUUAUCAAAAUUGUGGUAAUGCUGCAUUGUUGUUGUUGUUGUUGUUGUUGUUUUUGUUGUUGUUAUCAUACUUAUAUAAUUAUAUGUAAUUAUAAUAAUUAUUAUUUGAGAGUGGGGAAUCCAUUUAUCUGGAAGGAGCUAGACUGCACUCCACAUUAUCAUUAUUAUUAUUAUUAUUAUUAUUAUUAUUAUUAUUAUUAUUAAUCUGAAACGUCAAAGUGAACAGAUGCAGACAACUAAUGAAUUGCAGUAUUUCAUUAGUUGUACCAGAAUUGUUUCCUUAUAUGUGACACACUGUACUGAGCAUGUCUAUUUUGUAUAGUACAGUACAGAUCAUCUUAUUCCAGUGUAAUAAAUCCCUUUGUUUCCACACUUGUUUCUUUUUAGCUUUCAUUUACAUAUACAAACAAACUCAUGUUACAUUUUUGCAUACUGAUUCUUUAUAUCAUAUAUUUCCAUCUCAUGAAAUUUCAUAGGAAAGUUUUAGCUUUGUUAAAAAUUCUCAAUAUUUCUGAUUUUUCAAUUUCAUCAACUAAGGAAGAUUACACCACUAAACUCCUUACCAAUGAACAACUCCUCUUGUGAGAAGCUUAUUCAUAGGACAUUACUUUUGUAUGCCACUGUAUGAAAUUGAUGAACUCAAUAAAACUUGACUAAUUGUGAAA